CUUCUCGUGGCGUAGCGGCAACGCGCCUGUCUGCUGAGUAGGAGUCGUGAGUUCGAGUCUCACCGAGAGGA
rnacentral:tRNA from 1 species